rnacentral:rRNA from 1 species
CUGAAAUAAUUUUUUUGAAGGGCCGCGGUAAUUUGACCGUGCGAAGGUAGCAUAAUCAAUAGUCUUUUAAUUGGAGGCUGGAAUGAAUGGUUGGACGAUAGAAAAACUGUCUUUACUAUUAAAUAUAGAAUUUAACUUUUAUGUGAAAAGGCAUAAUUGAAUUAAAGGGACGAUAAGACCCUAUAAAACUUUAUAUUGAUAGAUUUAUUUUUUAAAUAGUUAUUAAAUUAAAAUAAAUUUAAAGUAUUAUACUGGGGCGGUAAAAAUAUAACUGUAGGUUAACUGUUUUAAAAAAUAAAUAUUUAUAAGUAGAUUUUGAACCUUUAAUAAAGGUUAUUAGAUAAAGUUACUUUAGGGAUAACAGCGUGAUUUUCUUUGAGAGUUCAUAUCGACAAGAUGAGUUGCGACCUCGAUGUUGAAUUAAGGUUAACUUUUAGGAGCAGAAGUCUAAAGUUGUAGGUUUGUUCAACCUUUAAUACCUUACAUGAUUUGAGUUCAAACCGGUGCGAG